rnacentral:rRNA from 1 species
AUGCACGCGCUGCCUAGCACACGCGCGGCGGCCUGCGCUCGGGCACGCACGCGAGCUCCAAUCACGGCGCAACACACGCACACGAGCUCCGAGCACGGCGUCGCGUCGUCGGUGGGUGGCUCCAGGCUCCAGCGCGGCACAACACACGACAGCGGCUUCCGACAGACAGACUUGUUGCUGCUCAUUGGCAUUCAGGUUGAGCAGCUAUGGCGACGAGACAGGAAGCGACGGCGGCGUCUUCUUGAGGAGGAUGAAGAUGGCGAUGCGGUUGGUGCGGAAGUCGGGGUGCCACUGCUCCUGCUCGAUGCACCCGAUCUCGAACUCCCUCAUGGCCGCCUCCAAGGGUCGGACCCCAGCACCAGCUCCGGCGGCUCUGGGUCCAGCCGGAGCAGCAGCUCCGGGUCGACCUCGUACUCGUCGCCCCACACCAGCUCCGCCACCGUCGCCGACCCCCCGACGUUCUCCUCGAGGUUCUUGCGGAGCAGCCGGACGCGGUCAGGCAAAUCGGUCGGCACGACCCGCGCGCCGAGCAGCGCGGCCACGAGCCCGCACCCGGCGCCGAGGUCCACGGCGCGCGCCCCGCGUACGGAGAGCAGGCCGCCGUCGGCCGCGUGCUCGAGGAACUUGGCGAGCACGACGGUGCUGUCCCACACCACGGCGCCGGUGACACCGGAAGCCCCCCGGAAGGAGGACGGCUGCUGCUGGAGCGUCAGGCGGCGCCCGCACGCGUCGAUGGGGAAGGCCGGCAAGCCCUGCCGCGCGAAGGCGUUGGGGCGGUGCGACGCCGGCUGGCCCAGGCCCCACAGCAGCAUCGUCUCCGCCGGCGGCGGGAGGGAGCGCAGGCGGCCGGCUGCGGGAGCCCGCGAGGCGGCCAGGCGAGGCGGAGCCGGCCGGGGAGGCGGACGCCGCGACGCUGCUAGGAGCGUGGAGGAGAAGGGGCGGCGGGCAUGCGGGAGAAAAAGGAGAUCCGGCCGGAGAGGCGGCGAGCUCCGGUGGCGCGGUGGAGCCCUGACCGCGCCCGCUCGCCGGCCGCACUCGCCCGUCCGGAGCCGGCGCAGGCCGCGACGGCGGAUGAGGGCGUGGUGGAGCGUGGAGGAGAAGGGGCGGCAGGCAUGCGGGAGAAAGAAGAGAUUCUUGCAUGCACUGGCACUGCACGUGGUGGGGCUAGUCAGAAAAAGAAAGGAGAGAGAGAUUAGAGGCUGGCAGUGGGCCUUUUGCAGCAAAAAACUAGUGUCGGCGCCCCAGCUGCCCCCCGAUUCAUGGGAUUGGAGCGCCGGCCGUAGAUUUCGUUAA